rnacentral:lncRNA from 1 species
CCAAAAUAUGUAUAAAUGAUCGAUAAGGACAAACAAAUUUUUUUGUAUUGGCUGAAAAUACUAACAAUAGAAACAAGUAGAGGAGUGAUAAGGAUUUCCUCCUGUAGCGGUGUAUUCAUCACUUUAUAAUUUAUUGAUUAAAUCAAAACCAAUGCAUACAAAGAUAGAGUCGCCACCGCACUUUUAUUUAUCCAAAGGAAUGGCUAAAAAUCGAACAAAAGCCUAAGAAGUUUUACAAAGAAAACUAAUAAAAAGGGUACAGAGAUC